rnacentral:rRNA from 1 species
UACGAAGGUUGCAAGCGUUUCCCGGAAUUAUUGGGCGUAAAGCGUCUGUAAGUGGUUAGGUAAGUCAAUUGUUAAAUCACAGGGCCCAACCCUGUGGCUGCGGUUGAUACUGUCAGACUUGAGGGUGGUAGAGGUAGCUGGAAUUCCCGGUGUAGCAGUGAAAUGUGUUGAUAUCGGGAAGAACGCCAUUUGCGAAAGCUAGCUACUGGUCCAUCUCUGACACCCAGAGACGAAAGCGUGGGGAGCGAACGGG